UCGGGAAUUUUGGGCAAUGGGCGCAAGCCUGAUCCAGCCAUGCCGCGUGUGGGAAGAAGGCCUUCGGGUUGUAAACCACUUUUGUCAGGGAAGAAACGGCCUGAUCUAAUACAUUGGGUUAAUGACGGUACCUGAAGAAUAAGCACCGGCUAACUACGUGCCAGCAGCCGCGGUAAUACGUAGGGUGCGAGCGUUAAUCGGAAUUACUGGGCGUAAAGCGUGCGCAGGCGGCUUUGCAAGACAGAUGUGAAAUCCCCGGGCUCAACCUGGGAACUGCAUUUGUGACUGCAAGGCUAGAGUACGGUAGAGGGGGAUGGAAUUCCGCGUGUAGCAGUGAAAUGCGUAGAUAUGCGGAGGAACACCGAUGGCGAAGGCAAUCCCCUGGACCUGUACUGACGCUCAUGCACGAAAGCGUGGGGAGCAAACAGGAUUAGAUACCCACGUAGUCCCUGAGCGGGCUGGCAAGGCGCAU
rnacentral:rRNA from 1 species